UGGGGAAUAUUGCGCAAUGGGCGAAAGCCUGACGCAGCAACGCCGCGUGAGCGAUGAAGGUCUUCGGAUUGUAAAGCUCUGUCGGAAGGGACGAAGCCUUUUUUGUUUAAUAAACCAAGAAGGUGACGGUACCUACCAAGGAAGCACCGGCUAACUCUGUGCCAGCAGCCGCGGUAAUACAGAGGGUGCAAGCGUUGUUCGGAAUUAUUGGGCGUAAAGCGCGCGUAGGCGGCCAUUUAAGUUGAAUGUGAAAUCCCCGAGCUCAACUUGGGAAUUGCAGGCAAUACUGAGUGGCUAGAGUGUCAUAGAGGAUGGUGGAAUUCCCAGUGUAGAAGUGAAAUUCGUAGAUAUUGGGAGGAACAUCGGUGGCGAAGGCGACCAUCUGGGUGACCACUGACGC
rnacentral:rRNA from 1 species